rnacentral:rRNA from 1 species
GGAUGCCUUGGCUUUCAGAGGCGAUGAAGGACGUGACAAGCUGCGAUAAGCUACGGAGAGGUGCAAAUAACCUUCAACCCGUAGAUUUCCGAAUGGGGCAACCCAGUAUCUUGAAGAGAUAUUACUCCCAACUUGUUGGGAGAGUCAACCCGGAGAACUGAAACAUCUAAGUACCCGGAGGAAAAGAAAACAAUAGUGAUUCCCUUAGUAGUGGCGAACGAAGGGGGAACAGCCCAAACCAUUUUGAUUUCGGUCAAAAUGGGGUUAUAGGACCGCAACAUUCAAGUAAAAUCAAAGUAGAAUUUUUUGGAAAAUUAAGCCAUAGAAGGUGAUAGCCCUGUAAGCGAAUUGAUUUUAUUUGAUAGCAGUAUCCUGAGUAGGGCGGGACAUGUGAAAUCCUGUCUGAAUUUGCCGGAACCAUCCGGUAAGGCUAAAUACU